AGGCCCGACUGCUCGGAGGACGCCCCGGUGCCGACUUUCGGCGGGAGCGGCAGCCCGCAGAGCUCGGAAGGCGUCCGGCUGCGCCGGCCAUGCCGCUGCCGGAAAUUUCAGAAUUCCCGCCGCACUAGCAGCGCUCAAGGCGGUUCCUCCCGCCGUGAGGCUUCCGCUUUGGGAUUUUCUGACUGCGCAGGAGAGAAACAAUUUGAGACAAAGAUGAAAGCAGGGAAAGAAGUUGAAGCUGGGAAUGACCAUCUGAAACAGCAGAAGGCUGAGAAUCAAAGAAUUGACACAGAGAGAAACGUCUUCUGUUAGAGGGAACAAAAAUGUGUGCUGUGUGUCAGCCCAGAGAAGCUGGAUGACUAAGGGGUUUCUGGUUUUUUUUUAAGGGUCAGCUCUGGAUAUGGAGGAAAGAGACCAGAAAUGUAACAGACCAUCUGUGGUUAAAGUGUGACUGCUUGUUGAAACUGCAUUUAUUUAAAUGUGAGAAGCACUAGUUUAUUCUGACAUCGUUGUUAUAUGUACAGUCUAACCUGCACAAUCACAGGGGUUAGGGGCACAGGAUGAAAGUGUAAAAACCAUGAAUAUCUCUACACCCCCUCAAACCUUACCUCUUAAUCCUGUUGACCGUAUGUCUGUUGACCGGAUUGCUUCUGCCUCUCCCCCUGUGUUAGCCAACAGUCAACUUGUGGAUGUCAUAAUGACAGGCAACUGCAGCAGCUUCCUUCUCACUGUAUGAAGCAUAUCUAAUAAUUAAACCUUUUCUAAGGUCUUCGCUUUCUUUUUCCUCUUGGGAGCAAUUUCAGAAGCACCAUGCUUUGGACUCAGGAUUCUGGCUGAUACUUUACUGCAUUUUAAAGAUGCAAAAAGUUGUGAAUAACGCAAGACACACUGCACACAGAGAGACAAAACACAGGAGUGAGGCUGAAUAACAUCAAGACAGUGUGGUGGCCCCAAAGUGCAUAGUCCACAGUUCUUUAGCGCACUGAAACUUUUCACAAAAUGUAACUUUUAAUAAUUUGUGUAUAUAUUUAAGGUAGCAAAUGAUAAAAUAGAUUAAUAAUACAUAUACUGUAUGUAUUUAUGACUUUUUUUUAGUUUUCUUUACAUUUUCUAGUUUAUGUGCAUCAUCUGUGAUUUUCUUCAGUAGGCUGCAAAACUCUCCCAAAAAUUCCCAUUUAAUUAUCGAUGGCAAACUCACAAAUAAACAAAUUCAUGUAAAUUAAACCCACAAAAGUCAGGGUUCAACUGUAUUGAUUUUUCUUUACUAUCUGUAUUGAUUUUCCUUUAUUAUCUGAAUUCUGUAUCUCUUAUUUUCUAUAUUUGAGUUGAUCUCACCUUAUUGUUUAGAUCUAAUUACAUUUCUAGUAACCUGAAGUUCAUUACAAUAUGCUUCUGUUUUAGAAUAGUGAGGAUAUGUGUAUUUGAAUUUGUUUUUCCAAGUUCAUUUCAAAUGCACGUGUAAGCUUUAAAAGUAAGUUCUGUUUCUUGUACAUUUAUUUAUUAAUUAGAUUAGAUUUAUAUCUUGCCUUGUUCUUACAAAGACUCAAAGCAACCUAAUCAGUCUCCUCCACCUGCUCUCAGCCUUAUCUUUACAACAACAACCCUGUGAGGUAGGUUGGGUUGAGAGUCUGUGACUGUUCCAAAGUCACCGAGUUAGCUCCAUGGCCAAGUGAGGACUAGAACCCAGAUUACCUCGUAUCUCUGAGCUAUACUGUGUUCAUAGGCAAGAUCAGUACAGGCAAUAGACAAUCAUGUCAAACCAUUAAGCUUUCUCACAAAAUUAUUGGCAGAUAUGGAGAAGAAUGUGCUUUUAUUAUCAGACUUUGUUAACCUCUGUGAAAAUAUACUCUCAUCCAUCCAUUUAUUUAGCUUCCUGUUAAACUAUUUUACAAUGAUUUAAAUGAAAUAAAGUAAUAAAGCACAAAGUCAUUUGCUAAAAAUGAACUCAUUGUUAUAGUUAAUAGAAGCUGUAUCUUAUUCAUGCUUCAUUAAUAUUUUAUGUUUGUUAAAAAAAAGAUGUGCCCUUUUGCUGGAUGGUAAUGGAAGUUUUGAAGGGUCAUAAAGUAAUGACUAAGAAUUCAUGGCAUAUUUCUGUGGUCAAAGCCACAUUUGCAAGUUCAUGUGGUUCUCCCACCUUAUGUUUCCCAAACUAUUUAUCUCAAAUACAAUCUGCAGUAUUACCCCAAUUCCCUCAGUCAUCUUAUACUAACUAUAUGCAGGAGAAAAGUCUCAGUGCGUCUUGUCAUCAAAUGAGUUUUUAAAAAGAUAGUUCAGUAUAUCUCCUGCGAGCUUUACUAUAGUAGAUAAAUGCAUUUUGUCAGAUGCAAGACUGAGCACUGCAAUGGGUGAAGUACUAUUACAACACGUUAAAAUGACAGGUGAAUAAAAAUAGGUAGAAAUAUUCUACAUCUGUGCAAUGAUUGUCUUCCACACAGAUGUAGACCCUGUGGGCCUCCAGAUGCUGAAUAUCAUCAGCUCUAGCCAGCAUGGCCAGUGGUCAUGAAUGAUUGUUAAUGUAGUCCAACAGCCUCUGAAAGACAAGUUCCUCAUAGAAUAGGAGGAAAAUUAGAAUAGUGCCAUUUCUGAGUGUGGUUCUCCUUUCCCUGGAAACCCUUGGAACAUUAACAAUGCCAUGUUAACUAAUCUAUAAUAGCACAUUUGACUGUGAAAGCAGUCUAUCAAACAGACUGUGAAAAUAAAAAAAAUAUGAAAUUGGAAUUUCUUCCAAGCUAUAUGCAGCUUAAUUUUGCUUAUCCUGGGCUGGUGGAACUCAUUUGUACAAAUGUAUGUAUUAACAGGGAAAGCCUUUCCCAUCUUCACUGGCAUCAGAAGCUAUCCCUUCAAGCAGUAUCCUGUUUUCUUCUAAUCAGGUUCUUUGGUUAAUAAGAAGAUGCUUAUCAACCAACAAUUCAGGCACAGCAUCUUUUCCCAUGAAGGACAACUGCACCUACACGUUUUUGUUCUGUCAAAGGGACAAAGUCUUUACCAACAAAAAGGGUAGCACCACUUUAUCUACCAAACCUGCCUUUUGGCACCUGCUUAUACUAAAACCAUCCUUGGUGAAUGGAGUUCAGAGAGGCAUGUUAUCACUACUUGUUGACAAACCCUGCACUUGCAAAUGCAGAAGCAAAAACCAAAACAGUGCUUGGGAGGUGCUGAGGAUGAGAAAGACAGGACCCCCACACAAGCACAAACCCACUAAUUUUAGUGGAAGUUCAGUAUGUGGAUGAUGGCCCCAGGAUUUAGCUUCAAUGACUAGGGUGCCUGCCAGCCAUCUAUUGGACAACUUCAUGGCAAGUUGUGAUCUCUCAUAUAAGGCGCAAGUCAGUGAAGCUAGCUGCCUGUACUUCACCUACUCUGAAAAGAAGGUAGGUAGCCAUUUUUGGACAUCUAACUGCUGCAUUUCAGAGGGGGAAGAAAGGAGGCUGAGAUACACCAGUAUGUAUCAUAGCUUUGAAACUAGACUCCUAUCCUCCCAGCCCUGGAAUGUUGUGGGGAUAAGAUGGAGGAGGAGAAUGAUGUAAGCUGCCUUGAGCCCUUUGUAGGAAAAAGGCGGGAUAUAAAUCGAAAAAUAAAUAAAAAAAUAAAUAAUGUCCACUGAAUGUCUCAGAGGUUGCUUUUAACCUUAGGAAAGGAGGCAGCAGCUCUUUCCACAAUGGCUUUGUAAAGGGGAAGGGUGCUCCAAGUAUGAGAGGUCAGAGCUGCUUUUAGACAUCAGAGCUGGGUCUCAAAAGAAUUGUAUAGCCUUCCAGGAGCCAUAGGAUCGCUUUCCACUGCAGUGUUAUUUAGAGCACUGUGGAAAUUAAGGUACUGAGCAAGUUGCAGCUGCUUAAUAGUUAAAAUGAACAGAAAUAUAAUAUCAAGCUAAUAAAUUUAAAGAUGCUGCUAUGCUUUGGGAUAAAGACGCAAACAUUAGGAUUUUCCACAAGAAGAGUGAAGGGCUCUUAUUUGUGUUUAAAUGCAAAGUUUAUAUUUAUGGCCUUUCUAGUUCACUCUGCUAUUUUCCCAGAAAUGGAAUUAAUUGCCUGUCGUUCUACUUACUAAGAAUUGUAUUAAACAUUAUUUGCCUUCAGCUUUUAAAUUCAACCAACAUUCAGAGGUUUUCAGUAUUUUUAUUGUCCAUUGCAUAUUUUAUGGCACAGCGGAAUUAUGUGAAACUAGUUCAGAAUGUUUAAAAGAAUGUGCAUAAUAAUUUUACUUCUACAAUGCAAAAGCUUCCAAAAGUACCCCUCAGUCUAAUUAGGAAAUAAAAGUAUUCACUGAUGAUAAUUUUAUGCUAUGUUGUAAGUGCACUGAUUAAUUAAAACACAAUUUCUGUU